AACGCUAGCUACAGGCUUAACACAUGCAAGUCGAGGGGCAGCAUGAAAGUAGCUUGCUACUUUUGAUGGCGACCGGCGCACGGGUGCGUAACGCGUAUCCAACUUUCCCGUUACUCUCGGAUAGCCUUCCGAAAGGGAGAUUAAUACGAGAUGGUGUCUUUAUUUCGCAUGUUAUGAAGACUAAAGAUUUAUCGGUAUCGGAUGGGGAUGCGUGACAUUAGAUAGUAGGCGGGGUAACGGCCCACCUAGUCUACGAUGUCUAGGGGUUCUGAGAGGAAGGUCCCCCACACUGGAACUGAGACACGGUCCAGACUCCUACGGGAGGCAGCAGUGAGGAAUAUUGGUCAAUGGCCGGAAGGCUGAACCAGCCAAGUAGCGUGAAGGAUGAAGGUUCUAUGGAUUGUAAACUUCUUUUAUACGGGAAUAAAACCACCUACGUGUAGGUGCUUGUAUGUACCGUAUGAAUAAGCAUCGGCUAACUCCGUGCCAGCAGCCGCGGUAAUACGGAGGAUGCGAGCGUUAUCCGGAUUUAUUGGGUUUAAAGGGAGCGUAGACGGGGGAUUAAGUCAGUUGUGAAAGGCUGCGGCUCAACCGCAGCACUGCAGUUGAUACUGGUUCCCUUGAGUGCGGUUGAGGUAUGUGGAAUUCGUGGUGUAGCGGUGAAAUGCUUAGAUAUCACGAAGAACUCCGAUUG
rnacentral:rRNA from 1 species